rnacentral:tRNA from 1 species
GCCUGGGUGGCUCAGUUGGUUGAGCGUCCGACUUCGGCUUGGGUCAUGAUCUCACAGUUCGUGAGUUCAAGACUUACACUGGGCU